CACAUUCUGUGAGCAAGGAAANCGAGGGGAUCGCAAGACCUUGCGCUGAUUGAGCGGCCGAUAUCAGAUUAGCUAGUUGGUGAGGUAAAGGCUCACCAAGGCGACGAUCUGUAGCGGGUCUGAGAGGAUGAUCCGCCACACUGGAACUGAGACACGGUCCAGACUCCUACGGGAGGCAGCAGUGGGGAAUUUUUGGGACAAUGGGCGCAAGCCUGAUCCAGCCAUGCCGCGUGAGUGAAGAAGGCCUUCGGGUUGUAAAGCUCUUUCAGCCGGGAAGAAAACGCAUGGGUUAAUACCCUGUGUGGAUGACGGUACCGGAAUAAGAAGCACCGGCUAACUACGUG
rnacentral:rRNA from 1 species